UCGUGGAUCUAUCGUGGACGCGCUCUCACAAUUUGUGCUAUUUUUACUGCAAAAUGACGUACAAAACGAAGAUGAGGAAAACUAUGAAAGCUGAAAGCAUGCUAGCUGCCCGUAGAAGGUGCGAGCUGGCUAGAAUUCGUAGAUUACGCACUUUGACGAGUGAAGAUCGAGGCGGCCAGUAAGCCACAAGUGUUGCAGCCCGCUGCCCCCCCCCCCCCUCCUCACACAAUCCCACCCUCUGCCACCGCACAUUUUCCACCUUCUACUCCAGGUCUUGCACCUGCUACUCCAAAUCUAACUGGACUGGUACUUGAACAAAAAGGACAAGGAUAUGCAGAGACCAACGAGACGCACAACCAAACCAAGAAAGGCUCCUGAGGGAGCUGACCCCAGCUAUGGCGCAGGUGCCUACUAGUGCCACUCCAGUGCCACCUUGAGGACCCAUAUUUCUGACCAAUUAUAUUAGGCGAUCUGCAUGCACACCUUACUGAACCCAUGCCUAUCUACAAGGGUGCAAAUUUUGAAUGAUAUUGGUCAACAUCAACCUCAGCUAAAGGUGGCUGAACUUUAACCUCCAUUUGUGCAGGCUGCGAUGCUGAAACUUGGCCCAGUUGCAGCAUCUUUUACAUGUAUCAGGAUAAUGAAUUUUCAAUGCCCUGCAACAACUUUCAAUUUUCAUCUAGCCAACCCCUCAAAUUGAUUGUAACCUAUCCACCGCUGCCCAUUGGAUGAGGGAGAGGGGGUUAUAUGUAGGAUAAACAUAUCAA